CUGGCUUUUCUUCCCCCUCCCCCACCGAGCUGCAACAUCUCGCUUGCACCUUGCAAAAGUUCUUAUGCGAACGCUCUGAUGAAUGAUGGCUUUUUAAAUCAGCAGUUUUGAUCAAAUACCUAGAAAUGUGUUUCGGCCAUCGAGGGCAACGACGUCAUUUUUAAGAGAGCAACUGCGUUGAUGUUCUCAAAAAAUGAGUAUUCAAAGUACUAACAUCAAAAACACUUGCAGAAGUAACUAAAAGGACAUUCGUGGCUUGAGGGAAUCAGUCUUUUUUGGAGUUGAGGGGAAUCCGGUUGGAUUACUGAUCAGAGGCUUUACAAUUUCACAUGGCUUAACUCUUUAGAAUAUGGUUAACCUGAACAGUUUUACAUUCACGUGAAAACACUAAGAUUCAGCUCUCACAUUUCAUUCAUUAUAGCCUUUUGCUUUUGAAAUAACCACAGUCAUGUUUUUCUCUCAUUAGUUUUUACUUUUCAAAUAAAAAUUGUUGACCUUUUUGUACCCACUUAAGAUAGACCGAAGAGCGACUGUUAAGAUAGAACGGUGAGCCAUUUGUGUCCGUGAUGGAACCUACCAGAAUUCCCUUUGCCAUGGCUAAUUUUAGCUGCGGGUUGGGUAGACAGAGCAUGAGCAGGGGAGGGGUACAGAGAGAGGGAGACAUGGAAUCCGAAGCAGGCUCCAGGCUCUGAGCUGUCAGCACAGAGCCUGAUGCGGGGCUCAAACUCACAAACUGCAAGAUCAUGACCUGAGCUGAAGUUGGACGCUUAACUGAAUAAGCCACCAGGCGCCCCUAAAAGAAUUUCGUUGUAAUAGUUCUUCCUGAUGAAGUAUUUAUUGCUGGGUUUAGCUUUUUUUUUUUUUAAUCUGUAUUU